AUUGAACGCUGGCGGCAGGCCUAACACAUGCAAGUCGAAUGGUAACAGGAAACAGCUUGCUGUUUCGCUGACGAGUGGCGGACGGGUGAGUAAUGUCUGGGAAACUGCCUGAUGGAGGGGGAUAACUACUGGAAACGGUAGCUAAUACCGUAUAACGUCGCAAGACCAAAGAGGGGGACCUUCGGGCCUCUUGCCAUCAGAUGUGCCCAGAUGGGAUUAGCUAGUAGGUGGGGUAACGGCUCACCUAGGCGACGAUCCCUAGCUGGUCUGAGAGGAUGACCAGCCACACUGGAACUGAGACACGGUCCAGACUCCUACGGGAGGCAGCAGUGGGGAAUAUUGCACAAUGGGCGCAAGCCUGAUGCAGCCAUGCCGCGUGUAUGAAGAAGGCCUUCGUGUUGUAAAGUACUUUCAGCGGGGAGGAAGGGAGUAAAGUUAAUACCUUUGCUCAUUGACGUUACCCGCAGAAGAAGCACCGGCUAACUCCGUG
rnacentral:rRNA from 1 species